CCCUGUGUUUCCCUCCUGUGUUGAUUGCUGAUCCCUCCCCUAAUGUGUCUCAGCUGUUCCUCGUUGUGUUUGUUACUUAAGCCCUUGUCUUUCCUUUGUUCCUUGUGCUUUCAUUGUGGUUGUUAGUCCUGCGUGGUCCCUGUUCCCUCCCGAGUUCCCUGAUUCCUGUGCCUUAGCCUUUAGGCGUGAAUAAAGUGCAGUUUUCUUGAAACCGUCUGCGUCUGGGUCCUACCUGCCUGCCUGCACACGCAACUACCCUAACAGAAUGAAAACACCAACAUUGGACCCAGCGGACGAUCAAGUUAGCCGUGAGUGGGAGGAUUUAUUAGGGUUCUUAAUGAAGGCAAUAGAUUUCUGGGAGGGUUUGGGGUACCACCCGGUUCCUCCUGGCACUCCUGCUCCUGUACUGACUCCGGUCCCCGAGCCCUGUCCGGUUCCUGAGCCCACUCCUCGCCUUCUAGAGGGGGACCGGCCUCUUCGCCUGCUUGAGGUGGUCUGCCCUCCGCUCCUGCCUGAGGGGGCCCGCCCCCUGCUCCUUCCAGAGGGGGACCGGCCUCUUCGCCUGCCUGUGGAGGUCCGCCCUCUGCUCCUGCCGGAGGGGGCCCGCCCUCCAGACCGUCCAGGGGAGGCACGCCCUCCGCUCCUGCCUGUGGGGGCCCUCCUCCACUCCUUCCCGAGGGGGGUUCCCCUUCAAGGCCUUCCACCAGAGGAGACCCUCUACCUGGGCCGUGUUCCAAUACCCGUACUGUCCGUACUGCGUACUCACAAUUUGAGUACGCAGUACGUUCCAAUUCAGAUCCGGCGAAAAGAAGUAUACUUCAAGGACCCGGAUGCCGUACUCAAAACGGGCUAAUCGUGAAGUGUGGAUCGAAGGACACUCCCCGUACUCAACGGCAGCCAUCUUAGCUACGUAGCGGAAGAGGCGGAGCCAAAGUCGGCGCAUUUUCCACACAGCCUGCAUUAAUAAUCAUUUUUAGUUUUUAUAGUUUUUAUAGCUUUUUAUAGCUGCUAGGCGUAAAGAGUUCACCGUUCAAAGCGGGAUGUUUAUUGCGGGGGAGGAGCCGCGGCGGCAGUCGUGAUCUUAAUUUCCGGUAAGUGCACCACGGAGUACUCGAUUUGGAACAGCACUCGCAUCUGAAAAAUUACCGUACUCAAGUGAGUACGGAUAGUGCAGAUAGUGUACUUCCUUUAAGUAUACUCAUGGAAGUACGGGUAUUGGAACACGGCACUGGCCUUCCACCAGAGGGGACCCGCCCUCUACCUGGCCUUCCACCAGAGGGGACCCGCCCUCUACCUGGCCUUCCACCAGAGGGGACCUGGCCUUCCUCCAGAGGGGACCCGCCCUCCAGCUCGCCUUCCUCCUGAGGGACUGAGCCCUCAUCGUCCUUGCCGCAGGCCUCCUGAAGGGUUCCGCCUUCCCUCUGCCUCUGCUUGCCCCCCAGGCCGUCCGCCUGAGGAUCCCUGCCAUGCCCUGGGGCAGUUUUCUGGCCGCCCGCCUGACACCCCUCCGCUCUGCCCCAGUCCAUUUAUUUUUUUGAUUCCCCCCUCCUGGCGCCCCUCGACCCACCCGUUUUGGGUUUGACUUUCUUCUUUUUUUGCUUGUCGUGGGUCGCCUGGGAGUCGACCCUUAAGGGGGGGGUACUGUCAUGGUCUGUCGUGUUUCCCUGUGUUUCCCUCCUGUGUUGAUUGCUGAUCCCUCCCCUAAUGUGUCUCAGCUGUUCCUCGUUGUGUUUGUUACUUAAGCCCUUGUCUUUCCUUUGUUCCUUGUGCUUUCAUUGUGGUUGUUAGUCCUGCGUGUUCCCUGUUGUCUCCCGAGUUCCCUGAUUCCUGUGCCUUAGCCUUUAGGUGUGAAUAAAGUGCCGUUUUCCUGAAACCGUCUGCGUCUGGGUCCUACCUGC
ensembl:lncRNA